rnacentral:rRNA from 1 species
GAGCAAACAGGAUUAGAUACCCUGGUAGUCCACGCCCUAAACGAUGUCUACUAGUUGUUGGGUCUUAAUUGACUUAGUAACGCAGCUAACGCGUGAAGUAGACCGCCUGGGGAGUACGGUCGCAAGAUUAAGACUCAAAGGAAUUGACGGGGACCCGCACAAGCGGUGGAUGAUGUGGAUUAAUUCGAUGCAACGCGAAAAACCUUACCUACCCUUGACAUGGCAGGAAUCCUGGAGAGAUCUGGGAGUGCUCGAAAGAGAACCUGCACACAGGUGCUGCAUGGCUGUCGUCAGCUCGUGUCGUGAGAUGUUGGGUUAAGUCCCGCAACGAGCGCAACCCUUGUCAUUAGUUGCUACGCAAGAGCACUCUAAUGAGACUGCCGGUGACAAACCGGAGGAAGGUGGGGAUGACGUCAAGUCCUCAUGGCCCUUAUGGGUAGGGCUUCACACGUCAUACAAUGGUACAUACAGAGGGCCGCCAACCCGCGAGGGGGAGCUAAUCCCAGAAAGUGUAUCGUAGUCCGGAUUGUAGUCUGCAACUCGACUACAUGAAGUUGGAAUCGCUAGUAAUCGCGGAUCAGCAUGUCGCGGUGAAUACGUNCCCGGGUCUUGUACACACCGCCCGUCACGCCAUGGGAGCGGGUCUUACCAGAAGUAGGUAGCUUAACCGCAAGGAGGGCGCUUACCACGGUAGGAUUCGUGACUGGGGUGAAGUCGUAACAAGGUAACCA